UCGGGCCAGGGAACUGACUAGGUCUCAAAUUGGGGGAGAGCCCAGGAAGGAACAGACCAAAAAGUGAAACCAUCAGCCUCCAGCCUGGGGAAGUGGGUUUGAGCCCAGAGAGCUUUCUGGCCCUGUACUUCCUAACUGGGACCUGAUGGAGGCCAGACCACCUGCUCCUCUCUGCAAAGGGACCACAGCACCUGCUUCGCUGGAGCCGGCAUAGGAGAGUGCAUUCCUUUCCAGGGUUUGCUAUAACAAAUCACACACGCUGGAUGGCUUAUGGUGGCACUAAUGUGGCCGUUCCCAGGCCUGGAGACCGGAGGCUGGAAGGGCAUAUCAAGUUCCUUCCAGCUUACCUUUU